AAUUCUCAACUACCCUUAUUGUUAAGGGUGAAGUUGGAGUUGGAGGAUAAUUGCUGGCGCAACUAAGGUUGCUUGUUGGCUCCUCUUGAAUGGAUGAGCUUCUCUGAUAGAUCAUAGCUCAGUAACACUAAUGUGAUAAUUAUCUACGUUAGAUGUGAAAGCUUGUGAGUAGAGUGACUUCAAAUACGGAGACACUCCUACAGAAAAGGUGUAUUGUCUUGGGUAUCCCCCUUGACUUGAUAACAA
rnacentral:misc_RNA from 1 species